rnacentral:rRNA from 1 species
UAACGNGAAGAACCUUACCAAGGUUUGACAUCGCCCGUGGACCUGCAGAGAUGUGGGUCAUUUGGUUGGUGGGUGACAGGUGGUGCAUGGCUGUCGUCAGCUCGUGUCGUGAGAUGUUGGGUUAAGUCCCGCAACGAGCGUAACCCUUGUUCCAUGUUGCCAGCACGUGAUGGUGGGGACUCAUGGGAGACUGCCGGGGUCAACUCGGAGGAAGGUGGGGAUGACGUCAAGUCAUCAUGCCCCUUAUGUCUUGGGCUGCAAACAUGCUACAAUGGCUGGUACAGCGGGGUGCGAUGCCGUGAGGUGGAGCGAAUCCCUGUAAAGNUGGUCUCAGUUCGGAUUGGGGUCUGCAACUCGACCCCAUGAAGGUGGAGUCGCUAGUAAUCGCGGNUCAG